rnacentral:rRNA from 1 species
GACGAACGCUGGCGGCGUGCUUAACACAUGCAAGUCGAACGGAAAGGCCCCUUUCGGGGUACUCGAGUGUCAGACGCGUGAGUAACACUUGCGUAAGCUGCCCUUGACUUCCGGAUAACUUCAGCUAACUGGGGCUAGUCCCGGUUACGAAUCCUUGCUUCAUGCUGGGGGUUGGAUAGCUUCGGCGGGUUUUGAUGGACCCGCUACAUAUCAGCUUGGCGGUGGGGCAGUGGCUUACCAAGCCUUUGACGGGUAGCCGGCCUGCGUGGGCGACCGGCCACAUAGAGACUGAGAUACGGCCGAGACAGCUACGGGAGGGAGAAGGGGGGAAGAUUGCAGAAGGAACGGAAGCCGGAUGCAGCAAGGCAGCGUGCGGGAUGACGGCCUUCGGGUUGUAAACCGAAUUCAGCAGGGGCGAAGCUUGUGGUGACGGUACCUGAAGAAGAAGCACCGGCUAACUACGUG